rnacentral:rRNA from 1 species
GACGAACGCUGGCGGCGUGCUUAACACAUGCAAGUCGAACGGAAAGGCCCUGCUUUUGUGGGGUGCUCGAGUGGCGAAAGGGUGAGUAACACGUGAGUAACCUGCCCUUGACUUUGGGAUAACUUCAGGAAACUGGGGCUAAUACCGGAUAGGAGCUCCUGCUGCAUGGUGGGGGUUGGAAAGUUUCGGCGGUUGGGGAUGGACUCGCGGCUUAUCAGCUUGUUGGUGGGGUAGUGGCUUACCAAGGCUUUGACGGGUAGCCGGCCUGAGAGGGUGACCGGCCGCAUUGGGACUGAGGUACGGCCCAGUCUCCUACGGGAGGCAGCAGUGGGGAGUAUGGCACAAUGGGCGGAAGCCUGAUGCGGCAGCGCCGCGUGCGUGAUGACGGCCUUCGGGUUGUAAACCGCUGUCGCCUGUGACGAAGCGUGAGUGACGGUAAUGGGUAAAGAAGCACCGGCUAACUACGUG